UGGCUCUCGCAUCGAUGAAGAACGCAGCGAAAUGCGAUAAGUAAUGUGAAUUGCAGAAUUCAGUGAAUCAUCGAAUCUUUGAACGCACCUUGCGCUCCUUAGUAUUCUGAGGAGCAUGCCUGUUUGAGUGUCAUUAAAUUCUCAAAUCUCAAAAGAUUUUAUCUAAUGAUGAUUUGGAUGUGAGGGUUUGCUGGACUUGAAAGAGAUCAGCUCCCUUUGAAUACAUUAGCUAGACAACGUAACACCGUGAAUUUGGCAUUGGACUGAUAACUAUCAUUGCCAUAGCCUUAGCUGGUGUAGCAGUCUGCUUAUAACCGUCUGCACAGACAACUUUGACAAUUUGGCCUCAAAUCAGGUAGGACUACCCGCUGA
rnacentral:misc_RNA from 1 species